UUGCUUCAUUAGAACUUUCACCAUCUACUUGACUAUCUUCUUCUUCCGUAACAGCCACGCCUUGCUUCUCUUUGGUGACUUGAACCACAUCAAUAGGAUCAUUCCCGCUGUUUGCAGUAUCUGAGGCAGAAUCGAUGAUCCAAUCAUCAUCUAAUCCCCCAGUCAAAUUGCUUUCAUCUACCUGAGUCGACACUGCUUCUUUAUAAGGAAAC
rnacentral:lncRNA from 1 species